rnacentral:rRNA from 1 species
UUAGGUACCCUUUUAUUCCAACGAAAAUUUUGUCUGCUACCAGGGCACUACGACAGCUUAAAACCCAAAGAAAAUGGCGGCUGUCAACUAAUUAGGGGAACAUGCAUCUUAAUACGAAAGUGCUCGAUUAACUAGGCCAUAUUUUGAAGGUGUUCAGUUAGUGUAUUGCCGUUGUCAACCAAUGUUUAAUUGGUUAAGUAGAUGUUUCUAGAAUUCAGGUCAAAAUGCUGCCGAUGGUGUGGGGAAGUGGGUGUUACAUUCUACAUUUGAGAUACGGAGCUUACUUAUUACUGAAGGUGGACUUAAAAGUAGGGAGGGAUUAGAAAGCUCUCUCGAAUUAGUGUGACUUGUGCACAAACUGCCCGUCACUCUCCUC